rnacentral:rRNA from 1 species
CUCGUAGGCGGCCAACUAAGUCGGACGUGAAAUCCCUCGGCUUAACCGGGGAAUGGCGUCCGAUACUGGAUGGCUCGAGUGUGGGAGAGGGAUGCGGAAUUCCAGGUGUAGCGGUGAAAUGCGUAGAUAUCUGGAGGAACACCGGUGGCGAAGGCGGCAUCCUGGACCACGACUGACGCUGAGUGAGCGAAAGCCAGGGGAGCAAACG